rnacentral:misc_RNA from 1 species
AAAAUUCCUGAAGGGGAGUAGCUCCUCCGCGGCCCCCAUGGCGGCGGAUGGAUGGUCGACAUACUGGUGCCUAUGCGCCCGGCCACCCAGCUUGCGAAAUUCGUGAGUGAGCGAUACCUUCGGUCCGUAG